rnacentral:rRNA from 1 species
CCCUUAGAUGUUCUGGGCCGCACGCGCGCUACACUGAUGCAUUCAACGAGUUUCUUCCUGGUCCGAGAGGAAUGGGUAACCUUUUGAAAGUGCAUCGUGAUAGGGAUAGACUAUUGCAAUUAUUGGUCUUCAACGAGGAAUUCCUAGUAGACGUAGUUCAUCAGACUGCAUCGAUUACGUCCCUGCCCUUUGUACACACCGCCCGUCGCUCCUACCGAUUGGAUGGCCCGGCGAAGUGGUCGGACCGGCGGCCCAGGCACGGUCGUGCCACGGGCCCCGGGAAGUCCACUGAGCCUUGCCAUCUAGAGGAAGGAGAAGUCGUAACA